AAAAUUACUUAGAACCCAAAGCCCAAUAUCACUUGCUUUCGAGAUUUUCUUCAAAAAAGAAAACAAAAAUACAAACAUUUCUUUUGCUACAACAAAACGCAGCUGACCUCUCUAUGUUUCUCUUUCACUGCUUUGGCUUCUUUACUCUCCUCUCUUGCGGUGCAGUGCCAAGAGGAAAAGAAAAGAUCGCACUCUGUUUUCUCGCACUAUAGAAAAGGUCCUUUUAUAACGUGACUAUGCCGGCGACAAAGAAGGCUAGAAGAUAAAGUCAAUUUUGUACGAAUCCAUUAGAUGUGCUGGGGGGGAGGGGAAAUAGAAGAAGAAGAAAAAGGAGAAAAAGAAGAUCAAGAAUAUCUUCGGUUUCUUGUGACCAUUUUCAAAUUGGCACCCCAGGACUUCAUACCUGCAGGAACAGUUGAUGCAUUUCCAAACUAACAGCCCAUGACCAUCUACCACAUGCUGGAUAAUUUCUUACAAGAUCAGGUAGGCUUUAGUCCGUCUUCGGAGAUGGUGGUGUGGGCUCAGGGAGACGAUUUUUGGGAUGUUUCCACACUGCAUGCGUGUCCUCUAGGCGUGGGAAAGGCAAAGCUUAUGUGCAGUAGCGUUGAGUGCUUCAUGUGGAUUUCAGGUCAGAGAACUUUACGUGUUUUGUGGGUUUCAGGUUGGCGUGCUUGUAGGGUUUGAGGGCUUCUUGAAAUAUUGCAUAAUAAGGUAUUUUGGCAUGAGCUGAAAAUUUUUCUUCUUUUCUCAUUCUCUCUCUUGUGUUAAGACUAGAGAAUUGUGUAAAAGAUAAUUCUUUCUCUUGCGAGAGUGAUAUUUGGGUGUCGUGGAUUUUGGAUUUGAGUGAUUUUUUUCUCUACAAUAUUGUACUCCAUCUUUGGUUAGUGAAUCGGACAUACCUCACAUUGAAGGA